rnacentral:rRNA from 1 species
AGUGAACGCUGGCGGCGUGCUUAACACAUGCAAGUCGAACGAGAACGGAAUAUAGCUUGCUAUAUUUGUCAGCUAAGUGGCGCACGGGUGAGUAAUGUAUAGAUAACCUGCCCUUAAGAAAGGAAUAACAGUUGGAGACGACUGCUAAUGCCCUAUAUGCCUUUAAUACAUAAGUAUGCAAGGGAAACGCUUUAGUGCUUAAGGAUGGGUCUGUAUGGUAUCAGCUUGUUGGUGAGGUAAUGGCUCACCAAGGCUAUGACGCCUAACUGGUUUGAGAGGAUGAUCAGUCACACCGGAACUGCGACACGGUCCAGACUCCUACGGGAGGCAGCAGUGGGGAAUAUUGCACAAUGAACGAAAGUCUGAUGCAGCAACGCGGCGUGGAGGAUGACACAUUUCGGUGCGUAAACUCCUUUUAUAUAGGAAGAUAAUGACGGUACUAUAUGAAUAAGCACCGGCUAACUCCGUGCCAGCCGCCGCGGUAA